rnacentral:rRNA from 1 species
UCAGGUGGCUAUUGCGACAGGGCUCCACCUCUUCCCAUUCCGAACAGAGAAGUUAAACCUGUCAGCGCCGAUGGUACUGCGUUUGUGGGAGAGUAGGUCGCCGCCGAAC